rnacentral:rRNA from 1 species
AUUGAACGCUGGCGGCAGGCCUAACACAUGCAAGUCGAGCGGAGCGGCGGACGCGUGAGUAAUGCCUAGGACUCUGCCUGGUAGUGGUGGAUAACGUUCGCAAAUGGGCGCUAAUGCCGCAUCCUCUCAGAUGCGCCUGUGUCGGAUUAGCUUUUUGGUGGGGUAAAGGCCUACCAGGGCGACGAUCCGUAACUGGUCUGAGAGGAUGAUCAGUCACACAGAAACUGAGACACGGUCCAGACUACUACGGGAGGCAGCAGUGGGGAAUAUUGGACAAUGGGCGAAAGCCUGAUUCAGCCAUGCCGCGUGUGUGAAGAAGGUCUUCGGAUUGUAAAGCACUUUAAGUUGGGAGGCGUUACCAACAGAAUAAGCACCGGAUAACUUCGUGCCAGCAGCCGCGGUAAUUC